CGAACGCUGGCGGCGUGCUUAACACAUGCAAGUCGAACGGAAAGGCCCUGCUUUUGUGGGGUGCUCGAGUGGCGAACGGGUGAGUAACACGUGAGUAACCUGCCCUUGACUUUGGGAUAACUUCAGGAAACUGGGGCCAAUACCGGAUAGGAGCUCCUGCUGCAUGGUGGGGGUUGGAAAGUUUCGGCGGUUGGGGAUGGACUCGCGGCUUAUCAGCUUGUUGGUGGGGUAGUGGCUUACCAAGGCUUUGACGGGUAGCCGGCCUGAGAGGGUGACCGGCCACAUUGGGACUGAGAUACGGCCCAGACUCCUACGGGAGGCAGCAGUGGGGAAUAUUGCACAAUGGGCGGAAGCCUGAUGCAGCAACGCCGCGUGCGGGAUGACGGCCUUCGGGUUGUAAACCGCUUUCGCCUGUGACGAAGCGUGAGUGACGGUAAUGGGUAAAGAAGCACCGGCUAACUACGUG
rnacentral:rRNA from 1 species